UACGAAGGGGGCUAGCGUUGUUCGGAAUUACUGGGCGUAAAGCGUGCGCAGGCGGCUUCUCAAGUCAGGGGUGAAAGCCCAGAGCUCAACUCUGGAAUUGCCUUUGAGACUGAGUGGCUUGAGUACGAGAGAGGGUGAGUGGAAUUCCGAGUGUAGAGGUGAAAUUCGUAGAUAUUGGGAAGAACACCGGUGGCCGAAGGCGGCUCACUGGCUCAUUACUGACGCUCGAGGCGCGACAGCGUGGGGAUCAAACAGG
rnacentral:rRNA from 1 species